rnacentral:lncRNA from 1 species
UUUAGAAUUUAUAGUUUAGUUUUCAGGAUUCACAGCAAAUUUUUUAAAAGAUUUCUAUUUUUAACAUAUUCAUUAUAUUAUUAUUAGAGUUUGGUGAAUAUGCUAAAUGCCUCUCCCUUCCAUGAGUUUAUGAAUUUCAAUUAUAUCUUCUCUUCACCAUUGGGUAUCUGGCCUAAUCAAUAUUAAUAGAUAUUUAACCACAUUUUAAAGCUAUAAUAAUUAAAAUAGUAUAAUACUUAUAUAGGGAGGAACAUUAAAUACUCAGGAGAUGUAAUUUUUUUAGCCUCUUAAUUUGGCAGUGUAUCUCAAAAUGUGGUAUGUAUCAAAAUAAUCUGGCCCCAAUUUCAUAACUUCUAAGUGGGAUGCAGCUCUGCCAUGUAUUUGUUGAAGGCAGUGAUGGUGGCAGUGAUUCUAAAAGAGAAAUUCUCAAUUUUGUAGCUGAUUCGCAUAGAGGGCUUGUGACUCCAUCACCUACUGUCUGUGUGACCCUGUGCAAGUUACCUAACCUUCCAUGCCUCAGACUCUUCCUCUCUAGAAGAACUGAGCAUAAUAAUAGUGCCUUCUUCAUCGGAUUAUUAUGAUAGUUACAUGAAUUAAGACAUGGAAUGUGCCAGGUACUAUGUAUAAGGUUGGAAAAGUGAGGUCCAGAGAGGCUUAGCUGGCUGAGUGUGACUGAGAAGAAAAGGCUUGGGGCUGCAAACUCCACAGAGAUAAAGGGGCUACUGCUAUCUUGCUUUGGUAGUUACAGUAAAUCAAGAUAAAGACACCAGUCUGCUUGGACUUGUGGAGAGGUAGCAAACAGUCCACAGACAGUUUGCUCAUUUCGGAAGAAAGCUCCUGACUGAGGUUCUUUAGAUGCGUUUAACGGAGGGACAGCUGUGCAGAAGCAUCACUGUCUCACUCUUUUCCAGACUGAUCAAAUGAAGCGUCUGUCAUGUCACACAUAUGGAGUUCUCUACCAACAGCAAAGGCUAUUUAGUCAAGUUCUACAGAUCAAAAGUCUAACACUGGUGUUAUUGGGCUGAAAUCCAGGCGAUGGCAGAGCUGCGCUCCUUUCUGGAGGCUCCGGGGAGAAUUCUCUUCCUUAACCUUUCAAGCUUCUCGAGGCCCUCUGCACUCCCUGGAGACAGGAGGAGAGAAGAAUCAUGGACUCCCUGGGCACAGCACCGCAGGUGGCUUUGCCAGUUCUCCCAGCCCCGCGCUGCUCCUGCGCCUGCGCUGAGCCUCCACGUGUCCUCAGGAGACUUAGCCUAGCCUGGGUAUCACCAGCAGUGGGCCAGGCCGCUUUGCCUUCAACUCCCAACAGUAACCUUGCAGAGGUCAGCCUGGGGCCACCAGGAGGAGUUAGUAAGAGCUUAUCCUGUGGGGGCACUCACUGGGGCUGGUGGCCGGGAAAUCCCAGGUGUUUUGUUGGUUUGAGUUUUGUUGUGUUUUUAUUUUUCUUCCGCUGAGAUCAGGACUGAAGCAGGGACGCAGUGCUCAGCACGCCCAGCCCACCGCGGGCCACUGCGCGGAGAACCUCUGCCAGGGUCGCCUGCUCACGUCCCCUAAUCCGCUCCUGGCGCGCGUUCCUGUCCUCCUCCUGCUGUGACUAGUGUGCAUGGAAGGGCACAGUGGUGGCAGAAAGACUUGUGGCGAGAUAUCAAGAUCCACAGGAAGUCAUAAGAGAAAAAGCAUUUUGUUUGAACUCCACCCACUGACCUUUUGUGGGUGAGCUUUCGGUGAAACAGCAACAUCCUCAGAAAUCUUAGAGACACGGCUUUGUAACCCGGGGGAGAGACACCGCUUCCAAAUAUAAUUGACGUGGCUUUCCUGCCUUAAUUCGGGGUAUCCUUUUUCCACCACAUAAUCUUCCCUUUGUCCGCGCUGAUUCCUGUUUAGUUUGGCAGGGCCAGCUGCUGGCAGGCUCCCCCAGUGCUGAAUGCUCCGCGCUCCACUGUGCUGGGCCUGCUGAAAAAGCAGACAGCGCUCCCUCUCCCCCAGAAUCAGGAGCCAAAUGCCACACCGAUUGUGCAACUUGUCUCUGGUUACCAGGAAAACGUAAAGAAAUGCCAAUGAAGCAGAAAGGUCGACAAAAUUCUUUCCAACGCUUGAACAAAAAAGGUAUUUUUAGGGCCCUAGAUUUAUGGAAGUCAAUUCUUCCACUCCUCGCCAGGCUUUCAAACCUCCUAUUCUUUGCACUACAUUAUUUGAAUAAACCGUAAAUACCCUUAGUUGCUCUAAUAGCAACUGCUGGUCCAUAUUGUGCAAGGCGGCCAUGGUCUGAAGACCUUGUUGAAUUUGAAAGACAGAAGUUCCGUUUCUGGCACAUAAACUUGAAUCAGGGCUAUAGUUAAGAGUGCCAGUGAGGUCCACAUUUUGACAGCUAGAUAAGCAGGUCAUUUAUUCAAAAGGACUUUGAAUCCAUGCCCAGAGUCAAAUGCAGUCCUUUGUAAAGCCCAGCAGGCUUGAAAUAAAAACUUCUUAACUGAGUUGAUCAGUGUCCUGCAUUUUAGGGGUCAGGAAAGUAUUUAUGAUAAGUUGGAAAUGGACAGGGCAGGAAAUUCUGGGCCUGGAAGGAUGGCUUCCUCACCAGGGACCGCACCACCAUAUUUUCUAAUUUGUGUCUUGAGGGAAAGUUUAUAUUUUUUGCUGAAAAUAUUAUCUCCUUGUGACAAAACCACAAG